rnacentral:rRNA from 1 species
UGCAGUCGAGCGGACAGAUGGGAGCUUGCUCCCUGAUGUUAGCGGCGGACGGGUGAGUAACACGUGGGUAACCUGCCUGUAAGACUGGGAUAACUCCGGGAAACCGGGGCUAAUACCGGAUGCUUGUUUGAACCGCAGGUUCAAACAUAAAAGGUGGCUUCGGCUACCACUUACAGAUGGACCCGCGGCGCAUUAGCUAGUUGGUGAGGUAAUGGCUCACCAAGGCAACGAUGCGUAGCCGACCUGAGAGGGUGAUCGGCCACACUGGGACUGAGACACGGCCCAGACUCCUACGGGAGGCAGCAGUAGGGAAUCUUCCGCAAUGGACGAAAGUCUGACGGAGCAACGCCGCGUGAGUGAUGAAGGUUUUCGGAUCGUAAAGCUCUGUUGUUAGGGAAGAACAAGUACCGUUCGAAUAGGGCGGUACCUUGACGGUACCUAACCAGAAAGCCACGGCUAACUACGUGCCAGCAGCCGCGGUAAUACGUAGGUGGCAAGCGUUGUCCGGAAUUAUUGGGCGUAAAGGGCUCGCAGGCGGUUUCUUAAGUCUGAUGUGAAAGCCCCCGGCUCAACCGGGGAGGGUCAUUGGAAACUGGGGAACUUGAGUGCAGAAGAGGAGAGUGGAAUUCCACGUGUAGCGGUGAAAUGCGUAGAGAUGUGGAGGAACACCAGUGGCGAAGGCGACUCUCUGGUCUGUAACUGACGCUGAGGAGCGAAAGCGUGGGGAGCGAACAGGAUUAGAUACCCUGGUAGUCCACGCCGUAAACGAUGAGUGCUAAGUGUUAGGGGGGUUUCCGCCCCUUAGUGCUGCAGCUAACGCAUUAAGCACUCCGCCUGGGGAGUACGGUCGCAAGACUGAAACUCAAAGGAAUUGACGGGGGCCCGCACAAGCGGUGGAGC